AGAACCAGUUUUCAUCUACUCAACAACCUCUUACUCAUGGGUCUUUAUAUAACUUAGGUGAAAGUAUGUCCAUAGGGGAACAGAAAAGAAAGCUGAGAAAGAUGUGCCAGGAGACUUGUGGGAACUAAUCCAAGUGCAACACCUCCUUACCACAAAGGAAAAGGACAGGGUAAAGGAAAUUGGAAAAACCCAUAAGAUGUAUUUGAGGUUCUUUCUAUUCCAGGGAAUUCUUGGUAUGAUAGGACAUGAAAGCUGAGAGAAAACCCUUCUACCUAGGAACUCCGGAGUUUCAACUACCAGAGACUGAAGGCAGGAGAGAAAAACUAAGACAAAUGACUUCAAAGCCUUUCUGAAAUGCCACAGAGGGUCAGGAUUACAAUCUGCCUAUUCUGAUUCUUCUACUAUGGGAAAAAAUCUUUUUCAGAAUUGAUGUAAAGCCUCUGUUAAUACUUUUCCUGUUAACAACCUAACUAUUCAACUGCUGAAUAAAAACCAUUAGGACAACUAAAGAAACUGAGAGAUUUUGGCAAGAAAUAGUCAUUCCAAUAUCAAUGACUACGGAGGAAAUGCAAUUACUUUUCUUUGCUUAAGUUUUCCAGGGCCUUUCUCUGUUGCCCAGGCUGGAGUGCAGUGAGGCAAUCUUGGCUCACCACAAUCUCUCCCUCCUGGAUUCAAGCAAUUCUCCUGCCUCAGCCUCCCGAGUAGCUGGGAUUACAGGCAUGCACCACUACACCCGGAUAAUUUUUGUAUUUUUAGUAGAGAUGGGGUUUUACCAUGUUGGCCAGGCUGGUCUUGAACUCCUGACCUCGUGAUCAGCCUGCCUCGGCCUCCUAAAGUGCUGGGAUUACAUGCAUGAGCCACUGUGCCCUGCCAACUUGUUAAAUUUUUAAUCAUUCUGCUCACCUUUUGCAACCUUACUGACUUUUGUGUCUACCUUAUCUAGCAGUGGCUGAAAUUUCCUUCUAUGAUUAUAGAUUUGUCUGUUAUUUCUUAUAGAUUUCUCAAUAUUGCUUGUAUUAUUAUUUUAAGUUAAUACCAUUAGGCAUAAAAAUUCAAAAUUGUUAUCGCUUACUGAAUAAAUAAAUCUUAAUCUAUUAUCAAGUAA